AAUGGGAGGCUGGAGCAUCCUGGUGACAAAACAACCGGGGAGGUGGGUGACAGAGGKUUCAAAACCAAACUGAUAUGGUCAGAUGGUUCGCUGUACCUUGCAAAAUGAAACAUAUAUUCCUGACAGCUAUUUAAACUCAACUACUUAAAGCGAUGGAGCCCUAAGCUGUGCAAGGAUUGGUGAAGAAGGGGURUGUAACACUGCUGUACUUAAGGCCCUCUUUUUUUAUUUUUUCCUGUGCUACCUCCAAAAGAUGAAUUUCGUAGAUGUAACUGUGAUGUCACUUGGCCGUGUAUCUUGAUCUUUCUUCUAGASAGUUUGAGGAUAAUGUCACUGCAGAGGGCAGCCGUACCACCACUGAGGAUCUUAUCUAUGUCAGUGACUCAAAGAAAAGAUUAGAAUAACUUGUAAUCCUCUUGUUGCUAUUAAAAGUUGUUGGGUAAUUUCUGAUGUCAUUUUUAGAAGAUUUGUACCUCUAUAACUCAACGAAUCUAAGAAAAAAUAUGCCAUAUUGCAGUGCAUGUUUGUUUCCUCUUUGCUCAGUCAUGAAGUAGGUCGUGUUCUGAAUUCGGAUGUGCUGUAAUAGAUAUGCAGCAGAAUCCAGCCAAAUGAUAUUCAGUGUUCAGUAUCAUUUGAUAGUGAUUAUGCAGUCACAAUUAUUUUUCAUAAAAUAACAUUUAUAGCUCUAAAAUACAGCUCUGAACACUGGCUUCAUUGAUGAGAAUAAAAAAUUAAACACAAAAGUAGCUCAGGAGAAAAYGAGUGGAGAGGAGGAGGAUUCUGGAUGGAUUAUCUUUAUUUAUGUUAAGAGACUUAAAGGCAGGAUUAAAACAAAGGCAUCAAAGGACGAGCAUAAUUUUCAAACAAGUAAAAUGCAGUAUUAGAUCUGUCUGGCAACAUAUUGGGCAAAUAAGCAUGACAGCCUAUUAAUUACUGURUUUGUAUUACACAGUCUAUAAACAAUUGGAGAAGUAAGAAACACAUUUUAUAUAAUAGAUAAUGAAAAGCAUWUCACAGGAUAAAAAAAGUGCUUCUGAAUGUAUUGACGUACUUUCUGAAUGUGCAGAUGAAUAGAUUGUAUUCUUGUCUGCCUAACAUGAUUUGACAUUAGCGUAUAGAGAAGAGAAGGAGCAGUUACUUAAUUUUGGUGUUAUCACUGGGAAUAUGUGUCCUGGUUCACAGAACACAAAAUGUGCUCUUUCAUUGUGAAAUUGUUUUCUGUAU